rnacentral:rRNA from 1 species
GAUGAGCGCUGGCGGCGUGCCUAAUACAUGCAAGUCGAGCGAACAGACGAGGAGCUUGCUCCUCUGACGUUAGCGGCGGACGGGUGAGUAACACGUGGAUAACCUACCUAUAAGACUGGGAUAACUUCGGGAAACCGGAGCUAAUACCGGAUAAUAUAUUGAACCGCAUGGUUCAAUAGUGAAAGACGGUUUUGCUGUCACUUAUAGAUGGAUCCGCGCCGCAUUAGCUAGUUGGUAAGGUAACAGCUUACCAAGGCAACGAUGCGUAGCCGACCUGAGAGGGUGAUCGGCCACACUGGAACUGAGACACGGUCCAGACUCCUACGGGAGGCAGCAGUAGGGAAUCUUCCGCAAUGGGCGAAAGCCUGACGGAGCAACGCCGCGUGAGUGAUGAAGGUCUUCGGAUCGUAAAACUCUGUUAUUAGGGAAGAACAAAUGUGUAAGUAACUAUGCACGUCUUGACGGUACCUAAUCAGAAAGCCACGGCUAACUACGUG